GGAAGUAGAGAGGAGACAUUGCUGGAACUGGCAGCAGAGGAGAGUUUUCCUUUGGUGAUUUUUGGCGACCAUUUAACCAUUACAGCCUUCACCUAAUGCCCUGAAACAGUAAGAAGAAGAUUCUAGAAGUCCCAAACAAAAUCAUUGAUCUGCUGACAGGAGAGGUUCCUAUAAGGUGUCAGGAUGUCACUGUCU